AAUGAUGAAGAAAAAUGUGUGUAUGGAUACUCUUGUGCCGUGACAAAACAAAGAAAAAAAAAGGGGAAGAAAAUUGGUUGUUCAUCCUUCCUCAUUUUUGUUACAAUUGCCAUGACUUGAAAAGAUGAAGGAAUAGGGGAAAUCUCCCUAAAGCAAAUCGGCAUUCUUCUUUAGCUAGCAAGAGGGUGAUGAAAACAAAGCUUGGAACUUAAGCUCUUCUUGGCCGAAUGUAAAGAGGAAGAGGGGAGAAAGACUUUCGGUCAUGGAAGGAGAAGAAAGCUCCAGAGCAAAGGGGGACUAAAUCGGACAAAG